AUGCAGUGAUGAAAAGUGUGUUACAUGUGAUGUUGGGUCAUCACAGUUGUUCGAUUUCUUUCGAAUGAUUAAGCACAUCUGAGCAU